rnacentral:rRNA from 1 species
UACAGAGGUCUCAAGCGUUGUUCGGAUUCAUUGGGCGUAAAGGGUGCGUAGGUGGCGGGGUAAGUCAGGUGUGAAAUCUCGGGGCUCAACCCCGAAACUGCACUUGAUACUGCCUUGCUCAAGUACUGGAGAGGAGAUUGGAAUUUACGGUGUAGCAGUGAAAUGCGUAGAUAUCGUAAGGAAGACCAGUGGCGAAGGCGAAUCUCUGGACAGUUACUGACACUGAGGCACGAAGGCCAGGGGAGCAAACGGG